GAGGAGGAAGAUGUGCAUGUCGUGAGUGGAGACAGAGAAGAUAAAUUAAUGGAUUUUAACAAUUGUUCAUUUUUUAAUAUGGAUGCAUUUGGUGAUGAAAAGUUGGAUAA
rnacentral:ribozyme from 14 species